AUUGAACGCUGGCGGCAUGCCUUACACAUGCAAGUCGAACGGUAACAGGUCUUCGGAUGCUGACGAGUGGCGAACGGGUGAGUAAUACAUCGGAACGUGCCUAGUAGUGGGGGAUAACUACUCGAAAGAGUGGCUAAUACCGCAUGAGAUCUACGGAUGAAAGCAGGGGAUCGCAAGACCUUGUGCUACUAGAGCGGCCGAUGGCAGAUUAGGUAGUUGGUGGGAUAAAAGCUUACCAAGCCGACGAUCUGUAGCUGGUCUGAGAGGACGAUCAGCCACACGGGGACUGAGACACGGCCAGGACUCCUACGGGAGGAAGCAGUGGGGAAUUUUGGACAAUGGGCGAAAGACUGAUCCAGCAAUGCCGCGGGCAGGAUGAAGGCCUUCGGGUUGUAAACUGCUUUUGUACGGAACGAAAAGCCCCGGGUUAAUACCCUGGGGUCAUGACGGUACCGUAAGAAUAAGCACCGGCUAACUACGUGCCAGCCGCCGCCGUAA
rnacentral:rRNA from 1 species